GACGAACGCUGGCGGCGUGCUUAACACAUGCAGGUCCAACGGAAAGGCCCUGCUUUUGUGGGGUGCUCGAGUGGCGAACGGGUGAGUAACACGUGAGUAACCUGCCCUUGACUUUGGGAUAACUUCAGGAAACUGGGGCUAAUACCGGAUAGGAGCUCCUGCUGCAUGGUGGGGGUUGGAAAGUUUCGGCGGUUGGGGAUGGACUCGCGGCUUAUCAGCUUGUUGGUGGGGUAGUGGCUUACCAAGGCUUUGACGGGUAGCCGGCCUGAGAGGGUGACCGGCCACAUUGGGACUGAGAUACGGCCCAGACUCCUACGGGAGGCAGCAGUGGGGAAUAUUGCACAAUGGGCGGAAGCCUGAUGCAGCAACGCCGCGUGCGGGAUGACGGCCUUCGGGUUGUAAACCGCUUUCGCCUGUGACGAAGCGUGAGUGACGGUAAUGGGUAAAGAAGCACCGGCUAACUACGUG
rnacentral:rRNA from 1 species